CAGAGUUCAUGCCCUUCGGGGUAGACCUCCCACCCUGUUUAAUUACUAUUGUUGCUUUGGCAGGCUGCCCUCACCAUGGGGCGUCCGGGCUCGCCCGCGUCUCGCCUGCCAAAAGCCCCCCAAUUCGGGGGGAUAUGUCGUCGGAGGACUAUAUAAGAAGUUA
rnacentral:misc_RNA from 1 species